GUUAAAUUAAAGGUGUAUACACAUUCCAACGUUGUAUCUACGCACCAUCUGCAAUAUCUUUACACUCAAGUAUUAUGUUCAUAAAUUUAUCACUCUUUCACCAAUAUUUAAUACCACCUAUGCCAAGUAUUCCUGUUCACUAUAUUCAAAUGUGUUCCAUAAACCUGUUUUUUCUCUGGUAAGAGAGCCUAUACUUUCAUGGAAUUCUCUCUGUUUCCUUUUAGUGUGAAGACCCUUCUACGGUUCUUACAAAGUGGAGUAUGCAACUCAGUCUUUGGUUUACAGAGUUGACCAAACACAGGACCUUCAGUUCGUCCUUUGUUCAGGGAGUUAUACUGUUUACAUGGUUGAUCUCAGCUACAGCAAGAACGAGGAAUUGGGAGGUGCUUGAUGAUACUAUAUGAU